UUGACUUCAAAAAUUGGGUUGGGGUGUCGCAGUCGCAGACUCCCGCCCCUUCCCUCCCCUAACUGGGGAACCCUAUGUCUAUUUGUACCCUCCUGUUUCCUCGGCAGGUGUGCCUGCCAGCGAGGACCCCCUAAAACUCUUUGCUGUAGUGGUAGUGCUAGUCUGAAAUACGUAAAUAUCUCA
rnacentral:misc_RNA from 1 species